CGGGGCGUAGCUCAGCGGUAGGGCUUUAGAUUCUGGAUCUAACGGUCGCUGGUUCGAAUCCAGCCGCCAA
rnacentral:tRNA from 1 species